rnacentral:rRNA from 1 species
GGGGAAUAUUGCACAAUGGGGGAAACCCUGAUGCAGCAACGCCGCGUGAGUGAUGACGGUCUUCGGAUUGUAAAGCUCUGUCUUCAGGGACGAUAAUGACGGUACCUGAGGAGGAAGCCACGGCUAACUACGUGCCAGCAGCCGCGGUAAUACGUAGGUGGCGAGCGUUGUCCGGAUUUACUGGGCGUAAAGGAUGUGUAGGCGGAUAUUUAAGUGAGAUGUGAAAUCCCCGGGCUCAACUUGGGGGCUGCAUUUCAAACUGGAUGUCUAGAGUGCAGGAGAGGAAAGUAGAAUUCCUAGUGUAGCGGUGAAAUGCGUAGAGAUUAGGAAGAAUACCAGUGGCGAAGGCGACUUUCUGGACUGUAACUGACACUGAGGCUCGAAAGCGUGGGGAGCAAAC